AUGAAUGUGAAGCAUGAAGCUGAAUAGGAGCAUCAAGAAAGUGAAAUCUGCUUGAUAGGCAACAGAAUAGUGACUGGAACUGAAGAUUUUCCAACAAAUUUUUCUGCCACAGAACUCCGGGUAAAGUUCUCUGCUGUGCUAUCAUCUGACCUGUAGCACGAUGGAGGAGUCUGGAGCUGCUUGUAGUUCAUGUCCCAUGUGAAGCCAUCCUUGCAAGGCAGUGCUCAGCUCAGUGUGCCCUUCUCUCCAGUCCUGGAUGAUCAGCCUGGCUCAGCUGCUGGCAAUGCGAGCAGAAAGACUUUUCCUUCUCCUGUGUAACUUAUUAUAUUAAAUAGUUUCUCGGGAGAACAGAAUUGAAGCUAGAUUUCCUCAAGCCCAUGUGCCAGAAUGGUCAGCUGCCCAGUGGCCCAUGUAUUGUAUUCUUAAAACAACAACAUCAACAACAACAAACAGGCUGAAUUUCAGGAGAAUUUUCAUUGCUACUUUGCUGAGAAAGAACUGUUCUACAUGGGAUUUUUUUUGCACCUUCUCUCAAAUAACUGUGGAGCCAAUUGGUCAAUUUCAGUCAAGAUUUACGCUGCAAUACUGCUAAGGAGCCUUUUGGUAGCGUGUGCUUGGGUCACUGCAGUGUAAUGGCAGCUGUCAAAUGUACUUUAAAGAGGACCAAAGAAUGUAUCUACCUUGGGGUGGCUAAGUUAGCCGGAACUGACAAUCAAAUGUUGAAUAAUUAAAUUGUUUUAGCUAUUAAUUGUAAGUGAAUGUUGUUUUUAAUUGCACUUUAAUAAUGCCAUGCCCUUUAUAGCCAAAAUUAAUGUUUUCUCUCUCUCUGUUUUUGAAGUACAUGUCAGUUUAAUUAAACUAUUAAUGGUAGACAGAUUUUUAAGUACUUUAUAUUCUUCAUUAAAUUGUAUCUGUUCAACAAGCAUAAACAGGAAAAUAGACUCAGUUAGAAGCAGAUUCACGUUCUGCCUGAUAAAUCAUUCAUCAUCAGAUAAGAUGAUGAGGCAUGCUUGUUUUUCUGUAGGCUCACAAUGAUAAACAAAUCCACUUUGAAAUUAUAAUAUUUAUUGAGUUUGUAGCAAAAUAAACAAGACUGUUUUUUAAUAUU